rnacentral:rRNA from 1 species
AACGAACGCUGGCGGCAUGCUUAACACAUGCAAGUCGAACGAGACCUUCGGGUCUAGUGGCGCACGGGUGCGUAACGCGUGGGAAUCUGCCCUUUGCUACGGAAUAACUCAGAGAAAUUUGUGCUAAUACCGUAUAAUGUCGAAAGACCAAAGAUUUAUCGGCAAAGGAUUAACCCGCGAAGGAUUAGCUAGUUGGUGAGGUAAAGGCUCACAAAGGAGAGGAUCCUUAGUUGUUCGGAGAGGAUGAUCAGCCACACUGGGACUGAGACACGGCCAAACUCCUACGGGAGGCAGCAGUGGGGAAUAUUGGACAAUGGGCGAAAGCCUGAUCCAGCAAUGCCGCGUGAGUGAUGAAGGCCUUAGGGUUGUAAAGCUCUUUUACCAGGGAUGAUAAUGACAGUACCUGGAGAAUAAGCUCCGGCUAACUCCGUGCCAGCCGCCGCAGUAAGAC